rnacentral:rRNA from 1 species
UACGUAGGUGGCGAGCGUUGUCCGGAUUUAUUGGGUUUAAAGGGUGCGUAGGCGGCCCUCUAAGUCAGUGCUGAAAUAUCCCGGCUUAACCGGGAGGGUGGCAUUGAUACUGGAGGGCUUGAAUGAAGUUGAAGUGGGCGGAAUUGACGGUGUAGCGGUGAAAUGCUUAGAUAUCGUCAAGAACACCGAUAGUGAAGACAGCUCACUAAGCUUCUAUUGACGCUGAGGCACGAAAGUGUGGGGAUCAAACAGG